rnacentral:rRNA from 1 species
AACGAACGCUGGCGGCAGGCCUAACACAUGCAAGUCGAGCGAAGCCUUCGGGCUUAGCGGCGGACGGGUGAGUAACGCGUGGGAACGUGCCCUUUGGUACGGAAUAGCCCCGGGAAACUGGGAGUAAUACCGUAUGUGGUCGAGAGACGAAAGAUUUAUCGCCAAAGGAUCGGCCCGCGUUGGAUUAGGUAGUUGGUGGGGUAAUGGCCUACCAAGCCGACGAUCCAUAGCUGGUUUGAGAGGAUGAUCAGCCACACUGGGACUGAGACACGGCCCAGACUCCUACGGGAGGCAGCAGUGGGGAUUCUUAGACAAUGGGGGAAACCCUGAUCUAGCCAUGCCGCGUGAUUGAUGAAGGCCUUAGGGUUGUAAAGAUCUUUCAGUGGGGAAGAUGAUGACUGUACCCACAGAAGAAGCCCCGGCUAACUCCGUGCCAGCCGCCGCCGUAAUAC